rnacentral:rRNA from 1 species
GUGCCAGCGCCGCGGUAAUACGGAGGAUGCGAGCGUUAUCCGGAUUCAUUGGGUUUAAAGGGUGCGUAGGCGGUUUUUUAAGUCAGUGGUGAAAUCCUGCGGCUCAACCGUAGAACUGCCAUUGAAACUGAAGAACUUGAAUAUAGUUGAGGUAGGCGGAAUGUGCAGUGUAGCGGUGAAAUGCUUAGAUAUUGCACAGAACACCGAUUGCGAAGGCAGCUUACCAAGCUAUUAUUGACGCUGAGGCACGAAAGCGUGGGGAUCGAACAGG